UACGUAGGGAGCAAGCGUUGUCCGGAAUCAUUGGGCGUAAAGCGCGCGUAGGUGGCCUCAUAAGUCCGCUGUGAAAGUCAAAGGCUCAACCUUUGAAAGCCGGUGGAUACUGUGAGGCUAGAGUACGGAAGAGGCGAGUGGAAUUCCUGGUGUAGCGGUGAAAUGCGCAGAUAUCAGGAGGAACACCGGUGGCGAAGGCGGGUCUCUGGGCCGAUACUGACGCUGGAGGAGCGAAAGCGUGGGGAGCGAACAGG
rnacentral:rRNA from 1 species